rnacentral:rRNA from 1 species
AUUGAACGCUGGCGGCAUGCCUAACACAUGCAAGUCGAACGGUAACGCGGAGAGCUUGCUCUCUGGCGACGAGUGGCGGACGGGUGAGUAAUACUUAGGAAUCUACCCAGUAGUGGGGGACAACAUUCGGAAACGGAUGCUAAUACCGCAUACGCACUACGGUGGAAAGUGGGGACCUUCGGGCCUCACGCUAUUGGAUGAGCCUAAGUCGGAUUAGCUUGUUGGUGAGGUAAUAGCUCACCAAGGCGACGAUCCGUAGCUGGUCUGAGAGGACGAUCAGCCACACUGGGACUGAGACACGGCCCAGACUCCUACGGGAGGCAGCAGUGGGGAAUAUUGGACAAUGGGCGCAAGCCUGAUCCAGCAAUGCCGCGUGUGUGAAGAAGGCCUGCGGGUUGUAAAGCACUUUCAGUAGAGAAGAAAAGCCUAGGGUUAAUACCCCUGAGUCUUGACGUAACCUACAGAAGAAGCACCGGCUAACUCCGUG